GCCAAGCGAUGGGCCUGGAUGGCAGCAGCGGCAUCCCCUAUUUUUUGUUUUUUUUGGGUCUUUUUUUCAAAAGUUUUUCACAAAUACAUCUCUAGUGGUUUGAUUUUCGAAUGUGGACUCUAGAUUUGGCGCCAUUGCUAUUGGCACUGAGGUAAGAUGGCAUGGCGCCACAGUAAUUUGCGAGGCGUUUUGAAAGUGGUCUCGGAGGCCGACGGUCAUUUUUUAUUAACCGAUGCGGUUACAAGAAACCGUCUCGCAAAAUCCAUUAACGG
rnacentral:lncRNA from 1 species